rnacentral:rRNA from 1 species
GGACAGAACAUAAAAUGAAUGGUAAUCUUAGUCGAACACAACUGGAAGGUUGGGCCGCAGAGUGUAAAAGCCACGUAAGCGAAAAGAUAAUAUUCUAAGUUYUGAUCCAGAGUACCACGAGACACGUGAAACCUUGUGGGAAGCAGGGAGGACCACCUCCCAAGGCUAAAUACUACCUGAUGACCGAUAGUGAAGCAGUACCGUGAGGGAAAGGUGAAAAGAACCCCGGGAGGGGAGUGAAAUAGAACCUGAAACCGUGUGCCUACAACCGGUCAGAGCACUUUAUAYGUGUGAUGACGUGCUUUUUGUAGAACGAGCCAGCGAGUUACGGUAUGUAGCGAGGUUAAGGACUUAAGGUCCGGAGCCGAAGGGAAACCGAGUCUUAAAAGGGCGAAAAGUUGCAUGCUGUAGACCCGAAACCAGGUGACCUAUCCAUGGUCAGGUUGAAGCGAAGGUAAAACUUYGUGGAGGACCGAACCACGUUGGUGUUGAAAAACCAUGGGAUGAACUGUGGAUAGCGGAGAAAUUCCAAUCGAACUUGGAGAUAGCUGGUUCUCCCCGAAAUAGCUUUAGGGCUAGCGUUGAGAAUGAGUAGUGGAGGUAGAGCACUGAAUGGGCUAGGGGGCAUAGAGCUUACUGAACCUUAUCAAACUCCGAAUGCCACUAACUUGAAUCUCAGCAGUCAGACUACGAAUGAUAAGAUCCGUGGUCAAAAGGGAAACAGCCCAGACCAUCAGCUAAGG